rnacentral:rRNA from 1 species
AUUGAACGCUGGCGGCAGGCCUAACACAUGCAAGUCGAGCGGAGCGGCGGACGGGUGAGUAAUGCCUAGGAAUCUGCCUGGUCGUGGGGGAUAACGUCCGGAAACGGGAGCUCAUACCGCAUACUAUCAGAUGAGCCUAGGUCGGAUUAGCUAGUUGGUGGGGCAAAGGCCUACCAAGGCGACGAUCCGUAAGUGGUCUGAGCGGAUGAUCAGUCAACCUGGAAGUGAGACACGGUCCAGACUCAGACGGGGGGCAUCAGUGGGGAAUAGUGGACAAUGGGCGAAAGCUUGCUCCAGCCAUGGCGCGUGGUUGAAGAAGGUCUUCGGAUUGUAAAGCAUUUUAAGUUGGGAGGCGGUACCAACAGAAUAAGCACCGGCUAACUUCGUGCCAGCAGCCGCGGUAAUAC